rnacentral:lncRNA from 1 species
GAAAGAGGCAGUUCUUUUCGACGGCCGCUCUUCUUAAGUAGACCCCGGGGGAAGGGGCGGGGAAAGCCCCACCCGCCCCGCUGGCCUGGCCUGGCCUGGCCUGGUCCGGCCCGCACCGCACCGCACCGCACCGCCGCGGUGUGGGAGAGUUCAGCCCUCGGUGUGUGUUUCAGGAGAGGGCUGAAGACGAAGGGCGAUGUGUGCCGUAACCUUUUCCUUUGUUAGGAGAUUAGGAUCACAGUACCAUAUGAUGAUGAGUCAUCUGAACAAAAGCCAACAUUGUUACUUUUCAACCACUCAAGACUGUUUGAAUCAAAGGAAACAUAGAACAGGAGUGGCAAGUACUGAUAGCCGGCUAUAUAUCAGUCUCGGAAAAGUAUUGCCAGUCUAGACAUAUGUUAUACAAAACAUACUAGGUGG